UACGUAGGGUGCGAGCGUUGUCCGGAAUUAUUGGGCGUAAAGGGCUCGUAGGCGGUCUGUCGCGUCGGGAGUGAAAACUCAGGGCUUAACCCUGAGCCUGCGUCCGAUACGGGCAGACUAGAGGUAUGCAGGGGAGAACGGAAUUCCUGGUGUAGCGGUGAAAUGCGCAGAUAUCAGGAGGAACACCGGUGGCGAAGGCGGUUCUCUGGGCAUUACCUGACGCUGAGGAGCGAAAGUGUGGGGAGCGAACAGG
rnacentral:rRNA from 1 species